rnacentral:rRNA from 1 species
GAAUAGCUUUAGGGCUAGCGUCGUACGGUAGCUGGUAGGGGUAGAGCUCUGUUUUGGAAUGGGGUCCGUGAGGAUACCCACCCUUGACAAACUACGAAUACUAUCAGUGGAACUACGGCAGUUAGAACGUGGGGGCUAAGCUCCACGCUCGAAAGGGAAACAGCCCAGAUCGCCAGCUAAGGUCCCUAAAUAUACGCUAAGUGGGAAACGAAGUGGGAAUUCUCGGACAAUAAGGAUGUUGGCUUAGAAGCAGCCAUUCAUUUAAAGAGUGCGUAACAGCUCACUUAUCAAGAGAUCCUGCGCGGAAAAUGUAACGGGGCUAAAGCGUAUUACCGAAGCUGCGAAUGCUGCACAUCUUAGGAUGUGUGGUUUGGUAGAGGAGCGUUGAUAUCGCAUUGAAGUCAGACUGUAAGGUCUGGUGGAGCGUUAUCAAGUGAGAAUGCUGGAAUGAGUAACCAUAAGGCAGGUGAGAAUCCUGCCCACCGAAAGAGCAAGGUUUCCUGGGCCAUGAUAGUCAUCCCAGGGUUAGUCGGUCCUAAGCCGAGGCGAGCAAGCGUAGGCGAUGGACAACGGGUUAAUAUUCCCGUACCGGUGUUAAUUUGUUGCCAGGUGCGCAUUGGACAAGUAGAAGCGGAUUUUUGGUUAUAUCCGUCUAACUCACCUUUACGAGUGAGGAAUGAAACGGCUGAAAAGUCGAAUUUCUACAGACACGGUGCCUAGAAAAGCCUGGUAGCUUAUGAUUAAUGCCGACCGUACCGCAAACCGACACAGGUGCUCAGGGCGAGUAGCCCCAGGUGUACGAGUGAUUCUUCGUCAAGGAACUCGGCAAUAUAGCGACCGUAACUUCGGAAUAAGGUCCGCCCUGCCACAGUGUUCCCAAUAAAUAUUCAAUCAACUUGGCUAUAUUGCUAAGGCCACACUACUCUGUGUGUUUGGCCUUUCCAAUAUACGACAUAGGAGAUUGGGAGUGCUGUGGCAGGGCCGCAGCUAAAGAACCCAUGCAACUGUUUACUAAAAACACAGGUCUCUGCUAACACGAAAGUGGAAGUAUAGGGGCUGACGCCUGCCCGGUGCUGGAAGGUUAAGGGGAAAGCUUCACGGCUAGAACUGAAGCCCCAGUGAACGGCGGCGGUAACUAUAACCGUCCUAAGGUAGCGAAAUUCCUUGUCAGGUAAGUUCUGACCCGCACGAAUGGCGUAAUGAUAUGGGUACUGUCUCGACGAAGAGCUCGGUGAAAGUGCAUUGACGGUAAAGAUGCCGUCUGUCCGCAGCAGGACGAAAAGACCCCGUGGAGCUUUACUACAGUUUGGCAUUGAGCCAGGCGUAUAUAUGUGUAGCAUAGGUGGGAGACUUUGAAGCUGACGCGCUAGCGUCGGUGGAGUCACCGGUGAAAUACCACCCUUAUAUGCGUUUUGUUCUUACCUGUGCCUUUAUGUGCCCCUCAUUUUGAUGGGAGGUAGAUACAGGCACGGGAACAGUGUCUGAUGGGUAGUUUAACUGGGGCGGUUGCCUCCUAAAGAGUAGCGGAGGCGUUCAAAGGUUGGCUAAAUACGGAUGGAAAUCGUAUUGAUAGUGUAUACGCAUAAGCCAGCUUGACUGCAAGGCAUACAAGCCGAGCAGGCACGAAAGUGGGAGUAAGUGAACCGCUGUUACGCACCUUCGGGUGCAUGAGAGUGGUAUUGACAGCGCAAACGGAUAAAAGUUACCCCGGGGAUAACAGGCUUAUAGCGCCCAAUAGUUCACAUAGACGGCGCUGUUUGGCACCUCGAUGUCGGCUCAUCUCAUCCUGGGGCUGAAGCAGGUCCCAAGGGUCCGGCUGUUCGCCGGUUAAAGAGGUACGUGAGCUGGGUUUAGAACGUCGUGAGACAGUUCGGAUUAUAUCCGCUGUGGACGAUAGGAAAUUUGCGAGGAUUUGUCUCUAGUACGAGAGGACCGAGACGAACGCACCGCUGGUGUAUGGAUUGUUCUACCAAGGGCAUUGUCCAGUAGCUAUAGUGCGGAACAGAUAAGCGCUGAAAGCAUAUUAAGCGCGAAGCUAACCUCAAGAUUAGAUUUCCCCAUGAUCCCCCAGAAAGACCAUCUGGUUGAUAGGCGCAACGUGGAAGUGCAGUAAUGCAUGGAGCGGAAGCGUACUAAUAGGGACAUUGACUUUUUA